rnacentral:rRNA from 1 species
AGGUAGCGAAAUUCCUGGUCGGGUAAGUUCCGACCUGCACGAAUGGCGUAAUGAUGGCCAGGCUGUCUCCACCCGAGACUCAGUGAAAUUGAACUCGCUGUGAAGAUGCAGUGUACCCGCGGCAAGACGGAAAGACCCCGUGAACCUUUACUAUAGCUUGACACUGAACAUUGAGCCUUGAUGUGUAGGAUAGGUGGGAGGCUUUGAAGUGUGGACGCCAGUCUGCAUGGAGCCGGCCUUGAAAUACCACCCUUUAAUGUUUGAUGUUCUAACGUUGACCCGUUAUCCGGGUUGCGGACAGUGUCUGGUGGGUAGUUUGACUGGGGCGGUCUCCUCCUAAAGAGUAACGGAGGAGCACGAAGGUUGGCUAAUCCUGGUCGGACAUCAGGAGGUUAGUGCAAUGGCAUAAGCCAGCUUGACUGCGAGCGUGACGGCGCGAGCAGGUGCGAAAGCAGGUCAUAGUGAUCCGGUGGUUCUGAAUGGAAGGGCCAUCGCUCAACGGAUAAAAGGUACUCCGGGGAUAACAGGCUGAUACCGCCCAAGAGUUCAUAUCGACGGCGGUGUUUGGCACCUCGAUGUCGGCUCAUCACAUCCUGGGGCUGAAGUAGGUCCCAAGGGUAUGGCUGUUCGCCAUUUAAAGUGGUACGCGAGCUGGGUUUAGAACGUCGUGAGACAGUUCGGUCCCUAUCUGCCGUGGGCGCUGGAGAACUGAGGGGGGCUGCUCCUAGUACGAGAGGACCGGAGUGGACGCAUCACUGGUGUUCGGGUUGUCAUGCCAAUGGCACUGCCCGGUAGCUAAAUGCGGAAGAGAUAAGUGCUGAAAGCAUCUAAGCACGAAACUUGCCCCGAGAUGAGUUCUCCCUGACUCCUUGAGAGUCCUGAAGGAACGUUGAAGACGACGACGUUGAUAGGCCGGGUGUGUAAGCGCAGCGAUGCGUUGAGCUAACCGGUACUAAUGAACCGUGAGGCUUAACCUU